UUGCAGUAGAAAAAUUGUUUAAUGCGAUUUGAGGAUGAUGAGAGACAAAAUGCGACUUCAUACGUUAUCGCACAUAAUCCUGUUCAGCGUUCCGCCGCCACACAAUGCCGGAUCUUCCUCACUCAUUACCGUACUGAGGCAACGCUCGGCCAUCUGGUAUAAUCGCGUUUCCUAAGAAAAAUCUCAUUCAGGAUGGUAAGUCAUCUUUGAAAUACAGAAUAGCGUGUGUGCACCCAAAAGAUAAAACGCAUCAGUAAGGCCCAAUGCAAAACUGGAGAUGUGUUCGUUUUCAUGCCCCUCACAAAUUUCAACCCAAACAAAUUGCUUUUCGGAACUACGAUAAUGGUUGAGAGGGACAGAGGAGGGCAUUCGUAUCACUGCGUGAGAGGUGACAUUCUUGGACCGUAGCGAGACGCCCGACUGCGAAAGCAUUUGCCACGAAUGUCUUCAUUAAUCAAGA
rnacentral:ncRNA from 1 species